rnacentral:rRNA from 1 species
AGGACGAACGCUGGCGGCGUGCUUAACACAUGCAAGUCGAGCGGAAAGGCCCUUCGGGGUACUCGAGCGGCGAACGGGUGAGUAACACGUGAGCAAUCUGCCCUUAGCUUCGGGAUAGCUCCGGGAAACCGGAAUUAAUACCGAAUACGACUACGGCCGACAUCGGCUGUGGGUGGAAAAGUUUUUCGGCUAGGGAUGAGCUCGCGGCCUAUCAGCUUGUUGGUGAGGUAACGGCUCACCAAGGCGACGACGGGUA